AGCGUUUGAUCCUGGCUCAGGAUGAACGCUAGCUACAGGCUUAACACAUGCAAGUCGAGGGGAAACGACAUCGAAAGCUUGCUUUUGAUGGGCGUCGACCGGCGCACGGGUGAGUAACGCGUAUCCAACCUGCCCAUCACUUGGGGAUAACCUUGCGAAAGUAAGACUAAUACCCAAUGACGUCUCUAGAAGACAUCUGAAAGAGAUUAAAGAUUUAUCGGUGAUGGAUGGGGAUGCGUCUGAUUAGCUUGUUGGCGGGGUAACGGCCACCAAGGCGACGAUCAGUAGGGGUUCUGAGAGGAGGUCCCCACACUUGGAACUGAGACACGGUCCAAACGUCCUACGGGAGGCGA
rnacentral:rRNA from 1 species